rnacentral:lncRNA from 1 species
UGCACGGGUAUUAGGUUUUGGGGCUAGGGGAAGGUUUAAGGUUUUUGGCGUUAGGGUUAAAAUCACUGUCCAAAACCUUUGUAGGAACUAUUUUCCAAGCUUUGGGAGUUAGUUAGACCAAAAAGAAAUGAAAAAUGAAAAAAAAAUAUUUGGGGUUUUCGGGAUUCCUGAAGGUAAUACCCGGGUAUUAGGUUUUGGGGCUAGGGGAAGGUUUAAGGUUUUUGGCGUUAGGGUUAAAAUGACUGUCCAAAACCUAUUUAGGAACAUGUUUCAGACCUUUUGGAGUUGGUUACACCAAAUAAAAAUAAAAAAUAAAAAAAAUAUAUUU